rnacentral:rRNA from 1 species
UGAGGAAUAUUGGUCAAUGGGCGAGAGCCUGAACCAGCCAAGUCGCGUGAGGGAAGACGGUCCUACGGAUUGUAAACCUCUUUUGUCGGGGAGCAAUAAAGCGUACGCGUACGCAGAUGCGAGUACCCGAAGAAAAAGCAUCGGCUAACUCCGUGCCAGCAGCCGCGGUAAUACGGAGGAUGCGAGCGUUAUCCGGAUUUAUUGGGUUUAAAGGGUGCGCAGGCGGAAAGUGCAAGUCAGCGGUCAAACGACGGGGCUCAACCCCGUCUCGCCGUUGAAACUGUCUUUCUAGAGUGAGCGAGAAGUAUGCGGAAUGCGUGGUGUAGCGGUGAAAUGCAUAGAUAUCACGCAGAACUCCGAUUGCGAAGGCAGCAUACCGGCGCUCAACUGACGCUCAUGCACGAAAGCGUGGGUAUCGAACAGGAUUAGAUACC